rnacentral:rRNA from 1 species
AUUGAACGCUGGCGGCAGGCCUAACACAUGCAAGUCGAGCGAGCGGCGGACGGGUGAGUAAUGUAUGGGGACUGCCCGAUAGAGGGGGAUAACGACUGGAGACGGUAGCUAAUACCGCAUACUAUCGGAUAACCCAUAUGGGAUUAGCUAGUAGGUGAGGUAAUGGCUCACCUAGGCGACGAUCCCUAGCUGGUCUGAGAGGAUGAUCAGCCACACUGGGACUGAGACACGGCCCAGACUCCUACGGAGGCAGCAGUGGGGAAUAUUGCACAAUGGGCGAAAGCCUGAUGCAGCCAUGCCGCGUGUAUGAAGAAGGCCUUCGGGUUGUAAAGUACUUUCAGUCGGGAGGCGUUACCGACAGAAGAAGCACCGGCUAACUCCGUGCCAGCAGCCGCGGUAAUAC